UACGUAGGGUGCGAGCGUUGUCCGGAAUUACUGGGCGUAAAGAGCUCGUAGGUGGUUUGUCGCGUUGUUCGUGAAAACCGGGGGCUUAACCCUCGGCGUGCGGGCGAUACGGGCAGACUGGAGUACUGCAGGGGAGACUGGAAUUCCUGGUGUAGCGGUGGAAUGCGCAGAUAUCAGGAGGAACACCGGUGGCGAAGGCGGGUCUCUGGGCAGUAACUGACGCUGAGGAGCGAAAGCGUGGGGGGCGAACAGG
rnacentral:rRNA from 1 species